AACGAACGCUGGCGGCAUGCCUAACACAUGCAAGUCGAACGAGACCUUCGGGUCUAGUGGCGCACGGGUGCGUAACGCGUGGGAACCUGCCCUUAGGUUCGGAAUAACUCCCCGAAAGGGGUGCUAAUACCGGAUAAUGUCUUCGGACCAAAGAUUUAUCGCCGUUGGAUGGGCCCGCGUUGGAUUAGCUAGUUGGUAGGGUAAAAGCCUACCAAGGCGACGAUCCAUAGCUGGUCUGAGAGGAGGAUCAGCCACACUGGGACUGAGACACGGCCCAGACUCCUACGGGAGGCAGGAGUGGGGAAUAUUAGGCGAUGGGCGAAAGCCUGAUCCAGCAAUGCCGCGUGAGUGAUGAAGGCCUUAGGGUUGUAAAGCUCUUUUACCCGGGGUGAUAAUGACAGUACCGGGAGAAUAAGCUCCGGCUAACUCCGUG
rnacentral:rRNA from 1 species